AACAAACGCUGGCGGCAUGCCUAACACAUGCAAGUCGAACGAGACCUUCGGGUCUAGUGGCGCACGGGUGCGUAACGCGUGGGAACCUGCCCUUAGGUUCGGAAUAACUCCCCGAAAGGGGUGCUAAUACCGGAUAAUGUCUUCGGACCAAAGAUUUAUCGCCUUUGGAUGGGCCCGCGUUGGAUUAGCUAGUUGGUAGGGUAAAAGCCUACCAAGGCGACGAUCCAUAGCUGGUCUGAGAGGAUGAUCAGCCACACUGGGACUGAGACACGGCCCAGACUCCUACGGGAAGCAGCAGUGGGGAAUAUUGGACAAUGGGCGAAAGCCUGAUCCAGCAAUGCCGCGUGAGUGAUGAAGGCCUUAGGGUUGUAAAGCUCUUUUACCCGGGAUGAUAAUGACAGUACCGGGAGAAUAAGCUCCGGCUAACUCCGUG
rnacentral:rRNA from 1 species